UUGUCCCCCCACUGAGAUCCCUUAGAAAACAGGUAUACACUUCUUCCCUUACAGAAGCUUCUAUCAGUGAGUCUUCCAUGGCUAAAUUGAGAUCUCCUAUCUGUUUUAGCAUGUCUGCUUCCACCAAAGAAUGUUGCAUCCUCUUCUCAUUGGCGUCCGAAACUUGGGACAAAAGGGACUUAACUUCAACUUGCGUAUCUUUAAGCAAGUCUCUAAGCUGGUGAUUUUCAGAAAGAAG